GAAUGACUCUCGGCAACGGAUAUCUCGGCUCACGCAUCGAUGAAGAACGUAGCAAAAUGCGAUACUUGGUGUGAAUUGCAGAAUCCCGUGAACCAUCGAGUUUUUGAACGCAAGUUGCGCCAGAAGCCAUCCGGUUCAGGGCACGCCUGCCUGGGCGUCACG
rnacentral:rRNA from 1 species